rnacentral:lncRNA from 1 species
CAAUAACUUAAGUUUAAGUAAAUAGAAAUCUAUGAAAUUUUGACACAAGGUUUAUGACCACAAAAGGAAGGUUGGGAUUGAUUUUGGGAGUUAACAGUUUAGGAAUUAGGGGCCAAAAAAUGGCCCAAAUAAGCAUUAUUCUUGGUUUUCACACAAUAACUUUAGUUUAAGUAAAUAGAAAUCAACGAAAUUUAAACACAAGUUUUAUGACCACAAAAGGAAGGUUGGUAUUGAUUUUGGGAGUUGAGGUCUGAACAGUUUAGGAAUUAGGGUCCAAAAAGGGGCCCAGGUAAGCAUUAUUCUUGGUUUUCGCACCAUAACUUUAGUAUAAGUAAAUAGAAAUCUAUGAAAUGUAAACACAAGGUUUAUGACCAUAAAAGGAAGGUUGGGUUUGAUUUUGGGAGUUUUGGUCCCAACAGUUUAGGAAUAAGGGGCCCAAAGG